rnacentral:rRNA from 1 species
GACGAACGCUGGCGGCGUGCUUAACACAUGCAAGUCGAACGCUGAAGCCCUUCGGGGUGGAUGAGUGGCGAACGGGUGAGUAACACGUGGGUAAUCUGCCCUGCACUCUGGGAUAAGCCUUGGAAACGGGGUCUAAUACCGGAUAGGACACAUCGCCGCAUGGUGUGUGUGUGGAAAGUUCCGGCGGUGCAGGUUGAGCCCGCGGCCUAUCAGCUUGUUGGUGGGGUGAUGGCCUACCAAGGCGACGACGGGUAGCCGGCCUGAGAGGGUGACCGGCGACACGGGGACUGAGAAACGGUCCAGACGCCUACGGGAGGCAGCAGUGGGGAAUCUUGCGCAAUGGGCGAAAGCCUGACGCAGCAACGCCGCGUGGGGGAUGACGGCCUUCGGGUUGUAAACCUCUUUCGACCGGGACGAAGGAUUCGUUUGACGGUACCGGUAGAAGAAGCACCGGCUAACUACGUGCCAGCCGCCGCAGUAACAC